rnacentral:rRNA from 1 species
GCUAACGUUGGCGGCGUGCCUAACACAUGCAAGUCGAACGCGCCGUAGCAAUACGGUGAGUGGCAGACGGGUGAGUAACACGUGGGUAAUCUCCCUCCGAGCGGGGAAUAAGCACUCGAAAGGGUGUCUAAUACCGCAUGAAGCUUCGGGGCUUAAGCCUUCGAAGUUAAAGCCGCAAGGCGCUUGGAGAUGAGCCUGCGUCCUAUUAGCUAGUUGGUAGGGUAAUGGCCUACCAAGGCUGAGAUGGGUAGCCGGCCUGAGAGGGUGAACGGCCACACUGGGACUGAGACACGGCCCAGACUCCUACGGGAGGCAGCAGUGAGGAAUUUUGCGCAAUGGGGGAAACCCUGACGCAGCGACGCCGCGUGGAGGAUGAAGGCCUUCGGGUCGUAAACUCCUGUCAGAGGUGAAGAACGCCCGCAAGGGCUUGACGGUAACCUCAGAGGAAGCCCCGGCCAACUACGU